rnacentral:tRNA from 1 species
GCCCGGUUAGCUCAAUCGGUAGAGCGUGAGACUCUUAAUCUCAAGGUUGCGGGUAAGUUCAUAUUCCUCUGGUUC